CCUACGGGUGUCAGCAGUGAGGAAUAUUGGUCAAUGGGCGCGAGCCUGAACCAGCCAAGUCGCGUGAGGGAGGACGGCCCUACGGGUUGUAAACCUCUUUUGCCGGGGAGCAACGGGCGCCACGUGUGGCGUCACUGAGAGUACCCGGAGAAAAAGCAUCGGCUAACUCCGUGCCAGCAGCCGCGGUAAUACGGAGGAUGCUAGCGGUAUCCGGAUUUAUUGGGUGUAAAGGGUGCGUAGGCGGAUCGUUAAGUCAGUGGUAAAAUUGAGGGGCUCAACCCCUUCCAGCCAUUGAAACUGGCGUUCUUGAGUGGAAGAGAAGUAUGCGGAAUGCGUGGUGUAGCGGUGAAAUGCAUAGAUAUCACGAAGAACUCCGAUUGCGAAGGCAGCUUACUAAACUGCCACUGACAUUGAUGCUCGAAAGUGUGGGUAUCAAACAGGAUUAGAUACCCUUGUAGUC
rnacentral:rRNA from 1 species